rnacentral:rRNA from 1 species
CCUACGGGGUGCAGCAGUGGGGAAUAUUGGACAAUGGGCGAAAGCCUGAUCCAGCCAUGCCGCGUGUGUGAAGAAGGCCUUCGGGUUGUAAAGCACUUUCAGUGGGGAAGAAAGCCUUGGGGCUAAUACCCUCGAGGAAGGACAUCACCCACAGAAGAAGCACCGGCUAACUCCGUGCCAGCAGCCGCGGUAAUACGGAGGGUGCGAGCGUUAAUCGGAAUUACUGGGCGUAAAGCGCGCGUAGGCGGUCUGAUAAGCCGGUUGUGAAAGCCCCGGGCUCAACCUGGGAACGGCAUCCGGAACUGUCAGGCUAGAGUGCAGGAGAGGAAGGUAGAAUUCCCGGUGUAGCGGUGAACUGCGUAGAGAUCGGGAGGAAUACCAGUGGCGAAGGCGGCCUUCUGGACUGACACUGACGCUGAGGUGCGAAAGCGUGGGUAGCAAACAGGAUUAGAUACCCCAGUAGUC